rnacentral:rRNA from 1 species
CCUACGGGAGGCAGCAGUGGGGAAUAUUGCACAAUGGGGGAAACCCUGAUGCAGCGACGCCGCGUGAGUGAAGAAGUAAUUCGUUAUGUAAAGCUCUAUCAGCAGGGAAGAAAAUGACGGUACCUGAGUAAGAAGCCCCGGCUAACUACAUGCCAGCAGCCGAGGUAAUACGUAGGGGGCAAGCGUUAUCCGGAUGUACUGGGUGUAAAGGGAGCGUAGACGGGAGGGCAAGUCUGGAGUGAAAGGCAGGGGCUCAACCCCCGGACUGCUAUGGAAACUGUACGGCUGGAGUGCAGGAGAGGUAAGUGGAAUUCCUAGUGUAGCGGUGAAAUGCGUAGAUAUUAGGAGGAACACCAGUGGCGAAGGCGGCUUACUGGACUGCGACUGACGUUGAGGCUCGAAAGCGUGGGGAGCGAACAGGAUUAGAUACCCCAGUAGUC